rnacentral:lncRNA from 1 species
GUCAAUAGUUAUUAGUUAUUGAUGACAUUUGGUAAUAUAUCGAUAUCUCUGUGUUCUCUUAUGUCUGUGUCGUCAACAUUUGAACAUUUUUGAGCGGUCCGCUCUUUCUGACUGUAAAUAAAGCCGUUCUCCACCUCCUCUAACCUGAUUGGUUGUGAGGCAGACGCUGCUCCCCCGUGUCGUUCAGGAGCCCAAACAAAGUUAGCGUGCUACAAUAUCGGACAGUAGAAACCAACCAGAAAGUUCGGAAAAUUGUCUGAAUCCUCUUUUGGCCACGACUGCCGACACAAGCAAGAAAACAAAGUAAAUACCGGAGACUCUGGAGGAAUAACGGGCGCUUAAAACGGAGGUAGAGCGGACAAGAGCUAAAAAGCCGGGUCAACAUAAACCAUGGGGGACGCUUGGGGAUCUUGGUGACCCUGUAACCUUUCUGCUGGACAGGUAAACCGCUUUAACAAAGUAAGACAAGUGUCUGUAACAGAAGUGUUUCUUGUCAAACGGACCUGCUGUAGCGUGUUGUAGCGCCAUCGCUAAACUGUCCUCCCUCGGGUCCUGGACUAUGUCACUUUAUCCUCGUUGUAGAAGUCCUGCAAACAUUGUGUUUGCUGGUAGUCUGUUGGCAUCUACAGUAGCACCAAUGCUUUUUACUUUCACCUUGACUGGGCCCCAUUUGUAAUGAUCUGAAGUAUUGAUCUGCAUUAUAUCUGAAUUUAAUUGGAACGAUACGAGCGAGCAGGAGCGUCUGUUUGUGGGCGGGGCUUGAGGGGAGGGGAGGAGCUGAGGGGAAAACUGGUUGGCAUUCAAGGUUUCUCCUGAAAACUGGAACUACCUCAGAUUCUGACUACACCACCUUUAACAACCAAC